AGCUUUGCGCAGUGGCAGUAUCGUAGCCAAUGAGGUUUAUCCGAGGCGCGAUUAUUGCUAAUUGAAAACUAAUAACAAACACAAAGAGGGGAGAAACGUGAUACUAGAAGCUUUCACGCCAACACAUUUCUAACCUCAUCUGUAUAAAUAUCAUGUGGUU
rnacentral:snRNA from 1 species